UAAGUUAACGAGUAAGAAAAUUUGGCCAAUUGUUUUUACUGUUUAUCUGUCGGUUAAAACGUGCCUUUCACAAUGCAUUCUACGCCGUUUUAGUUUUCCACUAACAAGUGGUGAUAUAUUUGUAUGCCGAGACCGCUCGACAGCGCGGCCGAAGCGAGCCGCUGAGGCUGCAGUUCCCCAAAGCUUAUAAUUGUACUUCAGGCAAAUCCUGUUCGAACCAUUGAUGUAUCGAAUCUCGUAAUUCACUACGUCCAGUUAUCAAUUGUUUUCAGAUAUCCUCCUUUCACUUCUAUACAUCUCCUUGGAAGAUCGCUCUUGUGUCGACAGUGUUGCCAGAUUUGCCGGUUAUCCGGAAUUUUUCAAACUGCCAUCAAGCCGCAGGACUUUAUUCUAAAUCCUCUUCCUACAGUGAAGUAUCUUUAAUUUACCACAGUUUAAAUGUAUUUCUGUCUCUGGAAGAGUAGAAAUUGGGCUUUUUUUCUUAAUGGUAGGGAUGUUAGUGUGUGUUUCGGAAGAGGCACAAUUUUGCUCAACUGAUUUCAAGCUCAAUAACACCUGUGCUUUUUGUCGAAAAUUUCAGAAAUUUUGCAGGGAGGUUCGUGUAUUAGGGAAAUUGAUGCUACUAAAUUUUGGUGGUUAAAAGAUCGGGAGGAUGGAGAGAUAUAGGGGAUUACGUGUCGUCGUAUCUCGUGUGGGAUCGGACUUAAUAAUUUUACUGGUUAUUAGCAUUUACAAGUUUUU